rnacentral:lncRNA from 1 species
CUCCACUGAGUGUUUCAGGAAGAGGCAGCAUUAAUUGCUGCCUCAAGACCGUGAGGCUGAGCUCACAAUAGGCAAACACAUUACUUUGUAAAUGAAGGAUUAAGUCAGAAAACCUUGCUAAUAACCUACUUCAGAAACUCCAUAAUCACCGUGGUGUGAUGGCCUUUAGCAGAUACCACUGGAGACCCACAAGUCUAGAGAUGAUAGUCACAGUGCCUGAGUGCUCCAAGGUAAGUGGAAAUAACAUUGUUCCAAACCCAGCGUUUACUGUAAUGGUGCUCUUAAUUUGU